rnacentral:rRNA from 1 species
UACAGAGGGCGCGAGCGUUGUCCGGAAUCACUGGGCGUAAAGGGCGCGUAGGUGGCCACUAUAAGGCCGCGGUGAAAGUUCGGGGCUCAACCCUGAAUCUGCCGCGGCGACUGUAGGGCUAGGGCACCGUAGAGGCAGAUGGAAUUCCGGGUGUAGCGGUGGAAUGCGUAGAGAUCCGGAAGAACACCCGUAGCGAAGGCGGCGCUCUGGGCCGGUACUGACGCUGAGGAGCGAAAGCGUGGGGAGCAAACAGG